ACCAAGCCUAAGAUCCGUACGGGCUGUGGGAGCAGGAGCCCGGAGAUGGACCCUGAGACAAGGGUCCAGGCCCUACGGGGCGCAGCAGGCGCGAAACCUCCGCAAUGCGGGAAACCGCGACGGGGUUAGCCGGAGUGCCCGUGCAUUGCACGGGCUGUCGGGGUGCCUAAACAGCACCCCAUAGCAAGGGCCGGGCAAGGCCGGUGGCAGCCGCCGCGGUAAGACCGGCGGCCCGAGUGGCGGCCACUCUUAUUGGGCCUAAAGCGUCCGUAGCCGGCCCAGUAAGUCCCCCGGGAAAUCUGGUCGCUUAACGAUCAGGCUUCCGGGGGAUACUGCUGGGCUAGGGACCGGGAGAGGCCGAGGGUAUUCCCGGGGUAGGGGUGAAAUCCUGUAAUCCCGGGAGGACCACCUGUGGCGAAGGCGCUCGGCUGGAACGGGUCCGACGGUGAGGGACGAAGGCCUGGGGAGCGAACCGGAUUAGAUACCCGGGUAGUCCAGGCUGUAAACGAUGCGGGCUAGGUGUCACCGGAGCUACGAGCUCCGGUGGUGCCGGAGGGAAGCCGUUAAGCCCGCCGCCUGGGAAGUACGGCCGCAAGGCUGAAACUCAAAGGAAUUGACGG
rnacentral:rRNA from 1 species